UUGACAUUUGCGGAUCUCUUCUCUUGUCGAACCUACUCCGGAAGUGUAACGAACUGGUCAACAGCAGUUAGAUAGCAGAAAGAUGAUUGCCUCGAUUGAUUUGAUCCAUCCAACUGUCUGCAAACAUGGAUCUCUGAUGCAGCCAGUGCGGUUGGGAGAUUCUUACGGGUGCCAAGUUUGCAGAAAAUUUGGCGAUUACCCAGCCAUGGUUGCACAUGUUCAAACACAUGACAAAGCAGCCAUAUCUCACAAUGGCUACAAAAUCUAUAGGUGCCAACACAACUGUGCCAACACAAGAUCUCCACACUACCACUG